UCAGGCAACGAACGAGACCCUUGCAUCUAGUUGCCAGCAGAUCCCUUCGGGAUGCUGGGUACCCUAGAUGGACCGCCACUGCUAAAGUGGAGGAAGGAGAGGGCGACGGUAGGUCAGUAUGCCCCGAAUCUCCCGGGCUACACGCGGCCUACAAUGGACAGGACAAUGGGCUCCGAUCCCGAAGGAAGCAAUCCUUAAACCUGUUCUUAGUUCGGAUUGAGGGCUGUAACUCGCCCUCAUGAAGCUGGAAUCUCUAGUAAUCGCGUGUCAUCAUCGCGCGGUGAAUACGUCCCUGCUCCUU
rnacentral:rRNA from 1 species